GAAAACCACUGGAAACAUCACUGAGGCCACCCCACCCUGGGCCCACCAGCUUUGCAAUUUGUUAGACACUGAUGCAUUUGGUGACCUUGGGCAGAGGACUGAAUCUCCCUGAGCCCCGGUUUCCUCAUCAGCAGACUCAGGGACGGGAUCAGACCAUGGCUUCAUUGUCUUCUACUCUAAGUAACCCCAAUCAUACCCAUCACCUGUUACUGCCAGAUAACUGAUGGCCACAAAUGCCUGGAUUUGAAGAAAUACAUUUUAAAAUAAAGGAAAAACUAUGGUGA